rnacentral:rRNA from 1 species
AGUGAACGCUGGCGGUAGGCCUAACACAUGCAAGUCGAACGGCAGCACAGUAAGAGCUUGCUAUUACGGGUGGCGAGUGGCGGACGGGUGAGGAAUACAUCGGAAUCUACUUUUUCGUGGGGGAUAACGUAGGGAAACUUACGCUGAUACCGCAUACGACCUACGGGUGAAAGCAGGGGAUCUUCGGACCUUGCGCGAUUGAAUGAGCCGAUGUCGGAUUAGCUAGUUGGCGGGGUAAAGGCCCACCAAGGCGACGAUCGGUAGCUGGUCUGAGAGGAGGAAGCGCGACUCUGAGAGUGAGACACGGUCCUGACUCCUACGUGAGGCCGCAGUGGGUAAGAUUGGCAGAAGGGCGCAAUCUUGCACCAUCCAUACAGGGUGGAUGAAGAAGGGCUGCGGGUGGUAAAGCCCUCUUGGGGGGGAAGAAAAGCAGCAGUUGAAUACAAGGCUGUUCUGACGGUACCCAAAGAAGAAGCACCGGCUAACUUCGUG